rnacentral:rRNA from 1 species
GACGAACGCUGGCGGCGUGCCUAACACAUGCAAGUCGAGCGAGUGAAUCUCCUUCGGGAGUGAAGCUAGGGGCGGACGGGUGAGUAACACGUGGGUAACCUGCCUCAUAGAGGGGAAUAGCCUUCCGAAAGGGAGAUUAAUACCGCAUAAGAUUGUAGCUUCGCAUGAAGUAGCAAUUAAAGGAGCAAUCCGCUAUGAGAUGGGCCCGCGGCGCAUUAGCUAGUUGGUGAGGUAACGGCUCACCAAGGCGACGAUGCGUAGCCGACCUGAGAGGGUGAUCGGCCACAUUGGGACUGAGACACGGCCCAGACUCCUACGGGAGGCAGCAGUGGGGAAUAUUGCACAAUGGGGGAAACCCUGAUGCAGCAACGCCGCGUGAGUGAUGACGGCCUUCGGGUUGUAAAGCUCUGUCUUCAGGGACGAUAAUGACGGUACCUGAGGAGGAAGCCACGGCUAACUACGUGCCAGCCGCCGCGGUAA